GGGGCCGUAGCUCAGAUGGUAGAGCAGCUUUUUUAUAAAAGAAAGGUCACGGGUUCGAGCACCGUCGGCUCCA
rnacentral:tRNA from 1 species